UCAGGGUGGUGUAUAGGUAUCUUUUAGGUGUCACUUAAGGUCUGUGGGGUUUUGGAGUUCCUUUUUCUUUGUGAAUUUUGAUAGUUUGUAUGGCAGGGUGGUAUUAGACAUGUUUUGGGUGUCAUUUGGGUUCCUCUGAAGUUUUGGAGUUCCUUCAUUUCUUAUGAAUUUUGAUUGUCUGAACCAAACAAGAUUUGUUUUCUACUUUAUUUUUUAUUUUUUUUUUGUUUGGUUGGGGUAUGGGCAACCGUUAGGUGUCAGUGGGGGUAUGUGGAGUUCUGGGUUUCCUUUGUUUCUUAUGAAUUUUGGUAGUUGGAAUUGAAGAAGACUAGGUUUUAGGAGUUAGAUAAAGGCAAUUCCACAAUUUCCUUAGGAAGGAAUGCUCUAAUGCCUUCAUUAUCUAGGAAAACUUCUCAGUCGAAGGCGACUUGGCCAUAUCUCAGAAACAGCAAGGUCCUUGGACAUGGGACAUUGAGCUGUGCAAAAUUUUCAAUCUUUCCUCUGGGUUGGGUUUUUCUAUUAUGUUGAUCCCUCACUUGGCCAACAGAACUGUGGAUAGGCUUGCUAAGUGAGUUGCUCGAUUGUUAGAGAUGUUUGUAAGGGAAUUUCCACCUCCCUGAACUUUGUAUUUUGGUUGAGAGUUGGCUUUUAGUUAUUUUUAGUGUUUCUAGGUUUCCUCCUUCUGGUGUUUCAGUUCUGUUCUGUUAAUUUAGUAUAUUUGAUUCCUCUGAUUUUCUUUCUUGAAGGAUGAACAAUCCUUCAUGGUCUUUUUGUUCAUGAACCAAUGAGUUUUAUUGUUUCUGAUAGCUAAAUUUUGUCCCCAUUGGGACUUGAACCUGGAACCUCCCACAAACCCUCCCCAUCCCUUUACCAUUUGAGCCAGGCCUUAAGAGCAAAACCAAUUUGGAACAAGCUGAUAUCAGGAAUAUUAAGGACCUUUAUUAGAAAUAAAGAAUGGGCUAUGUUACCUUAUUGUGGGACUCUACAUUACCUGCUUUCAUUAAAUAUUGACAUGAUGAAAGGAUCAUGUAGAAUUCACUUUGCAACCACCAUAUCCAAAAUAGCUAUACCACCCCAUAUGGAUUCUGCCUGGCUUCAAUUAUUGGGAGGAAGCUUGAUAUAUUGUACAUUGGCUCAACUAAAUUCAGCCAGGAUGACCAUCUUGAACUGAUCAACCUAGACCUUGGAUCAAUUUGAAAUUAGAUUUUUCUGUAACCCUUUGAAUUUAUCUCCAAAGACACCAAAGGUUUAUUAAUCUCAAACCAAGGGUGUAACACUGUCUUAAUUAUUUACUUACCUCAAAAUAUAUUUUAAUUUUAUAUAUCUUGAAGUUUAACUUAAGUGUUUGUUUGCUAAUCCUUAGAUCAAGAAUGAUUCUCCCUAACCAACAUUUCAGACACCCAGUAGUUAUUUCUUAUAACAAGAUUUUGAGGUUGAUAAACUUCUUCUAAUGUCCAAGCACGUGUGAAAUGCCCAAAAAAUUAGACUUCCAGUAAAUCCAAAGAUCUCCCAGAAAGAGAUCAAUCAUAAAACCUCUCUACCAAGAAAUUAGCAUCCUACAUCAAUCAGAUUAUAUUAAAGGAUACAAGGUGAGGAAAUCUAAAACAAUCUUACCUCUAGAUCUAUGAUUUACUAAGGAGAAGAGAAUGCAAAAACUCCUCUACCUCCAGCCCCAUCCCUAGGCAUCUUCUUUUCUUGUCCUUCCUUCUCGCCUGAGCUUUGGACCAUUUUGAAGGAUAAGAGGCUUAAUAAAAAUUAAUAUCAUCCCUUCUUAUUUUCUUGGAAAAAGACUUAGAUGUCUUCCUUAUUAAAUUAUAAAAAUCUUGAGCCUAAAAUAGUCCAAAAGUUACUUGCCUUACCCCUAACAAUGCCCAAACUAAGUUAAGAGCCCCUUCUAAGCCCAUUGCAAAAUAAUUCAAAGUCCAAUUUAUUUAAGCCAAAACUCAAAAAUAUCUAAAACAAAUUAAUCUAAAUGACUUGCUUUGGUAAUAAUUAAAUAAAACCAAAUAAUAAAAAGACAAGAAUAUAAUUUGAUAAGAGAAACAGAAUAUCCAAAGAAAAAUCUGAUCAGAGUAACAAGUUAUGGCAACUGUUCUCUUUACUGGGCAUUUUGGUUGGUUGCUCCUAGAGGCAUUGAACUGACUGGUUAUCAAUUUUUACUUUAGGAGGAGGGGAGGACUAUUCGGAGGGAGAGCUGUGUGUUUGGGGUGAUGGGUAGGUAUAUACUGGGCACUAUGUAGGUUAUCUAGCUCAAGGGGAAUUCCAAGAGUUUUAAGAGAGGAGUCAUUUGUUAUCUCGAGUCUCUUUGAUUAUCUGUUACUGGUGUCCAUCAGUAUUAUAUGUUCUAGCCACAGGAGGGUGGUAAGAUAUGUAUAUGGGUUCCUCUUUCAAAAGGAAGGCUCAAGCUCAACUUUAUUUGUUUUCCUUGGAUAAAUCUGUGCAGAUGAGUAUCAGUGGCCUUUGACUGGAUCUAGAGGUGGGAUCAUCUAGUCUUUUUUUUUUUUGAUAGACAAAGAGAACCAUUAGAUUAAAAAAACGCCAGAAAAUAGGGGGCGCUCCCUAAGUACACAGGCGGUAUACAAAGAAGGCCCAAAACAAGGCAACAAGAGAAAAAUAAAGUCUAAUAAGGAUUAGCUAAACAACAACCCUAUCACCCAACAAAUUCCGAAAAGAGAGAUAGUCCAAGUCCAAGUCCACAAAUUGUUGAGACCAUUCAAGCAGGGACCGAAGAAAAAGUUUCCUCAAGCUCGUAUUUGUCAUCUCUUCCUCUCAGAAGGUUCUUCGAUUUCGCUCUCCCCAAAUACACCAAAACAGACAAAUAGGUGCCAUUUUCCAAACUACACUCCUUUUCUUCCCCAUGCCUUUCAUUUUCCACUCAAGAAGCAAAUUUCUCACGGAAUUCGGGAGCACCCACACCACCCCAAACGAAGAAAACAACAAGUUCCAAAGAUCCCUUGUCUUACCACAAUGAAUUAGGAUGUGGUUCGCCGUUUCCUCAUUUUCUUUGCACAGGUUGCAUCUAUUAGCCAUAGACCAACCCCUCCUCAUUAGCAUAUCUAUAGUGGAAAUUUUACCCCAAACUGCUUCCCAAGCAAAAAAAACGAGUUCUUAAAGGGGCAUACAAACCCCACACCUCCUUUUCUGGAAAUAAAGGGCUAUUGUCUUCCUUCAAAGACCUAUAAUAAAGGGAUCAUCUAGUCUUUCUCAAAGCCAGCUAGGUAAGGUCUAGAUUAGGGCUGAGAUUGUAUCUUUAUUAAAGCCCUAGAAGAGGCAAAAUUGAGGAACAUAUUUGCUUUUUAUUUUGCUUAUAUAGCCUUGACAAGAGUCAAGGGCCACUUAGAUGCUCAAGAAUGUUUGAAGUUGCCCGGGAGCUGCAUGGAUAAUUGUUGGUGGAGGGGGAUUUAAUGACAGUGUUAUUCUCAGAGUACCAUGGUAAGUGAGAUGGGGGCCAUGGAGAUAUAACAUUGGGUGAGAGGGAUUUUGGAUUUGUCUAGUGAUUGUUUGUUCUCCCAUCUUAGAGAUAUACUUUGGCAAAUCAAGAAGCCGAUGUGCUGGCCAAGAGAGGAGGGUCCACUUCUAUUGCUUUUGUUGGCAAUUUAUUUUCCCCUUAAGAUUUUCUGGAUUCUCAUUUUCAAUUCAGGGGUGUAAAUCGGUUUUACUUUGUAAUCUGUGGGCGUGGACCAGGGGGUUUUUUGUUUCUGGUCCCACUUCCGUUGUAGAUUUUGUUAAUUGGCUAGGCCAUGGGUAAAGGUUUUUUCUUUUUUUUCUUUGUAUACCUCCUGUAUACGUUGGGGUGCUUCCUUGAAGUGCCUCUUUUUAUUAAUAUAUUUCUCUUUAUUCAUCAAAAAAAAAAAAAAAUCAACAAGCCAGUAUGUUGGUCAAGAGAGGAGUGUCCACUUCUAUUUCUCUUGUUGACAAUUUCUUACCCCCUUAAGAUUUCUGGAAUCUCAUUCUUCUGUCUGUACUUUUGUACAUUUUCCUACUUUUAAGGACAUCUCGUCGUUGCUUGUAACGGACUUCCAUCAGGGCUUUGCGAUUUUGAAACUCAUAUUAUGAACUUCCAUAUUUGGGAAAUUGUAAGUAAAGAACCAUUGCUAAGUUAUUCUAAGAGUGUUAUACCUUAAUAAAGUAGGUUACAUUAGUUUUGCAGUUUGGUUCAAAUGGGUAGGCUUAUGGUGAAGCCUAAAGUCUUUAAUGCAUAGACCUUUUUUUAUUAUUCUUUUUUAUUUUUAUUUUAUUAAACUUUGUGAAAAAACAAGGGAAAUAAAUAGGCUCUUGCUCUAACUGAUUAGCAAGGACUUCUCCUAAAAACUAGGGAUAUAGAUAACUCUAGAGAAUAAUCCAAAAAAAAAUAAAAAAUAAAAGAGUCCUAAUCCAAGCCGACCUUUAUUUUGAAUGCCUAACAGAUAAAGUACUAACUAAUAGAUAAGAUAAAAACUCAUAAUUUCUAACUAACAGAUAAGAUAAAAAAAAACUCUUAAUUAUCUACACUCCCCCUCAAGUUGGGCAAAAAAUAUUCAGCAUGCCCAGCUUGCCAACCAUAUUCUCGAAGUUGCUUUUAGACAUACCUCAACUUGCUCUUUUGUAGGCAUGUAAGAAAUGUCUAAGACUCUACUCUCGAUCUUAAUCGGAUUUCAUGAAAUUUCUAAAGCUGCAUUGUUGUCACUAAAAAACUGCAUUGGCUGGUGAACUCCUAUUUUCAGCUCUUCCAACAUUCGUUUAAUCCACAAACCUUCAUAGAUUCUGUGAGCAAUUGCACGAAACUCGGCUUCAAGACUACUUCUAGCCACCACACUUUGCUUUUUACUUCUCCACGUUACUAAAUUUCCCUAAACAUAGGAACAAUACCCAAUAGAUGAACAUCGACUGCUGUCUCUCAUGCCAUUGCAGAAUUGGGGGUUCGCAAAAACUUUUACAAAUUUGUGCAAGAGCCGGCAGAUCAUCCACUCUUCUCUGAAGCAAAGAAGGUUAACAUUUCAAAGUAGCGUCAAAUGCCUAGGUUUGUAGAAAAAAAUGAAUUAGAAGAUGAUUGCCUAGCAGAAGCAGCCCUUAGCGUGAUUCUAGCGUAUGCUCAGUUCCUACACACUACUCUACUCUCUAGGCUUAACCUGUCUUUUCCUUCCCCUCCACUCCCCCUCCAUAAAGAAUCUGUUAGUCUUGGUUUCGAAGUGAAUGAAAGGUUUUUAUUAGCAGCACGAGUCCACGAAUGAGGCUAUGACAUAGUCAGUUUCAUUAUGAAAAGGGUGAUAACGCUCUGUCACAACGGUGCGUGCUGUGCCAAAUCCCCUAGUUUUCCUGCCAAGAGUUUUCAUAUUCAUAAGCAGGUACCAUACCAGCAGAAGACAUCUUAGUAAGCUGAAUCGGCUGUCUUUGAAGUGCUUUAAGGAGGUGAAGUUGUUAUUGGGAGUUGGAUGUGGGACUUCGAGGAGUUUGGGGGAACUCCCCCAAGCAAAUGUAGCUGAACCAACCCGAAGAUGAAUGGAGGGUUCCAAACCUCCUCAUCAAACAGGGCUUGAUAUGCUAUCCAUUGGGGUGGUCCUCCGUGACUCACUCAAGUGAAGAGAGAGAAGAUAGGGUAGGUUGCUCUGAAGGUAGGAUAACAAAAGAGAGGCUACUUAUGGAUUUACAUUAACAUGAACGGGACCCUAGCGAGGCCCUCUCUCUAAAAGGACGUAAGCCCCUUUAUUUAGAGAGAGGGGCGAGCCAAAGAGCUCGGCUUUACUGAAGAAGAAGGGGCGGAGUCUCAACUACCACACAACCCUAGUUGUUGUCCAUACCACAACCUCAGGUACUUCUCUCUUAUUCCUCUUUCUUCUCUUCUUGAUUAUUUUCUUUUCCUCUCUCAUUUAUCGACUUCUUUAUUCCUUAGAGCCGCAUCGCUUUAGUUUUAGAAUGUGUCUGCCUCAUCAUCCUCACAACCGUCCCUCUUCUCUAUAGCGAAUGUCUCUCAUCUUGUCUCGAUCAAGCUUGAUCGAGGGAACUACCUCCUUUGGCGUAGUCAGUUUCUACCGAUUCUUCACAGUCAAUCAUAGGUUUCUUCCUCUCGGAUAAAACCCUGAUUUACAAUCAGCCUGCUGCCUCUCUACGCCCACUAAGAUCUGCGAUCAGCCUGCAGUUGAUCGUAGAGCACCCUGAUUUACAAUCAGCCUGAUCGUAGAGCACUUCUGAUCUUCAAUCAGCCUGAUCUACGACCACCCUCCUGCGGAUUAAAGAAAGGAGGAAAAAAGAGAUGUUAAUUAAUCAAAGGUCCAACUGAUCACCGCCUUUGUCUUGUAAAUAUGCAGUUACGAAGAAUCCAGCCAAAGUAAUAGGAAUUAGACCUAACACGAUUCCAAAUAGAAAAACUUCAAUCAUUUCGAUUUGUUUGAAAGGGGAAAAACGAGAGGGCGUUAAGCACCUAAAUAAACAUCCGAAUCGCCCAUGAAUCUCAAUGACCAAGAAUUGGCAAUUGACGCGGGAAGGCAGUAUUCCAUACCUGGAAUCUCACAGAAACAUUUAUUUUUAUGAAUUGUUCAUUCAAUGAAUUUCGAAUAAGUCGUAUCUUGCUCAGACCAAUAAAAAGAGCUGGGGUUAUAGUUGAAGCCGCCAGUAGAAAACCGAAAUAACUAGUUAUAGUAAGCAUGAAGAAGCUAAAUGAGAUACGUUAUUUAUAUAUAUAUAAAUAAUAAUAAAGUUUUUUAAAAACUUACCUAAGUUUCCAUUUUUGCAAGAUACGAGGAUAAGAAAAAAUACCAAUUGACAGUUUUUGAUUCAUCAGUCAUUAUCCUUAUAGAAGGCACUCACAAAGAUAGAGUUACAGAGGUAGAAAAAAAAAAAAUGGAUUCAUCAUCUGUUACAUCUACCCAUCCCGUGAUUCCGAAUCAACAGACCCAAUUUCCGAGAUAUGGCAACUCUUUUAUAAAGUAAUAGUAAUAAGAACUGUGUCGUGUAACUUCAUUCACAAAUGAAACUCCGGAAAAGCAAAAUGGAAAAUAAUUUUUUUUUUCAAAUUUAUUUUCUUUUUCAAUUGUAUCAAAUCCAUUUUCUAUUUUGGAACGAACAACGACCAACUAAGACUUUGACUUGACUUUAACUCAUUAGAUUCAGUAGUAGGUUCAUUAAUUGCACAUAAUAUCUCGAAUGAGAAGAAAUUAUCGCACGAUCGCUCGAAGAAAUCAAACCUUUAUUUCGGUCUAACUCGAUUCUAAGACUACUAAUUCCUAUGUUCUUUUCCUUUUAGGUUCUCUUUUAUUUCAAUAUUAGGGAGUCCCACCCUUGUAGCUAGGUCAAGAAAAAACCUUUGGAUCUAAUACAGCAAUGCUUGCAUCACGAAUAUUGAUUGUUCCAAUUAUUUUAUUGUUUGUUCUGUUUCUUUCAUCGAAGACUAUCUACUAGAAUACUUGUUAUUGUACGACCAACCAAUUCCUUAAAAUGAAAGGAUUCGAACAAAAAGAAAAAAACCUUUUCUACAACCAUGAAAAGGGGCUUUCUAGAUUUCGCAUCUAAUUGAAUUGUGGGAAUAUGAGAAUCUCUUUGAUAUUAUUAGCUCUAUAAUCCACCCAUCUUCCCCAGUCCCUGAAAGCCCAUCCUCUUAAGAUCUACGAGCAACCUGAUUUACAAUCAGCCUGCUUAAGAUCUACGAGCAACCUAGCCCUCUUUCUCAACUCGAGUCUUAAGUUCAGCGGCUUUCAUCGUUGACGAACACCUGCGCUAAUAAGACAAAACAAAGAAGUGGGGAGUCUAUGCCUUGAAUGAAUCAGUAACAACGGAUUAGUGGAAUGAGGGAUCAAGAGACGGAUAGGGGGGGGGGAAUGGCCUAUCAAUCAUUGGUGACCUUCCCUUGAACCGGUCACGGAGCUCUCAACUGAGUUGUUUAGGUUCUGGAAUUCCAUCUCUAGUUGGGGGUUUCGGUUCGAAGGUUCUAAAAUGUGGUGCGGGUUCAUCUCUCUCGACCAGUUCAGGUUCAAGGGAAGGGUGAUCGAGGGGACCCAGACUUUAGAUCUCUUCUCUAUGGCGGGAGGUUGAUUUCGUAUCAAGAGUGUGUUGGGGAGGCCAGGGAAGACGGAUUGGAUCGAGAGGCGAUGCCUAUGCUCUUUAUCGAGAGGAUUCCCAUCAUUUGCAGUCUCCGGUGAAGGAGACAAGGGCGAGGCACCGAACAUGUUCUAUCCUCAACCUCCAUCCGUCAUUAGUAAUCUCAAUCCGCUUUUCCUAUUCACUAGUACACUGCGCGCUACAACUAGCAGCCCCUUGUAUAGUAAGGGAAAACGCUAGCGCGCUAGCUAGCUACAACUAGUUAGAACCCCUACUUUAUGGGAUAUUUGAAGAAGCCUGCUGAAAAACAGAAGCGCGCUAGCGCGCAACGGCUGAAAAGCCAGCAACUUGUUAGGAGUAGGUUUUGGCUUGCCCCUUUCAACUUAUUAGUAAGAUAGGUGCUUAACGCCCUAUACAAGACAAGGGGCUGCUUGCUGCUCGCCCUUAUAGGGGCUUAUGCACUCCACUCGCUACCUACUCCAAACUCAUUUGCCAAAACUCUCUUCAACUUCUCCAGUCCGUCUAUGUCAUCCCCUGUAAGUAUAAUAUCAUCUACAUACACGAUUAGCAUAACUAUUUUUCCAUCAACCGAAUGUUUGUAGAACAUAGUGUGAUCAGCAUAUCCUUGACUAUAUCCGUAUCUUCUUAGCACUUGGGAGAACCGUCCGAACCAAGCCCUUGGGGACUGCUUUAGACCAUAAAGAGAUUUGUUUUACUUACACACCUUUUUGUUACCUUGGUCAUCAAAGAAUCCGGGUGGAAGUUCCAUAUACACUUCCUCAAUAAGCUCUCCGUUCAAGAAGGCAUUCUUGAUGUCAAGUUGAUAAAGUGGCCAAUCAAAGUUGACUGCCAAAGAAAGAGGGAUCCUUAUUGAAUUUAGUUUUGCUACUGGAGCAAACGUUUCAGAAUAAUCAAUUCCGAAAGUUUGGGUGAAUCCUUUCGCUACAAGCCUGGCCUUGUAUCUUUCAACCUUCCCAUCCGGGUUAUAUUUCACCGUAAAUACCCAUUUGCAGCCCACUGGAUGUUUACCACCUGGUAAAUCAACAAUUUUCCAUGUAUUAUUUUUCUGCAAGGAUUUCAUUUCCUCCAUAUCAGCUUCCCUCCAUUUUGUGUUUUUCAAGGCUUCAUGUAUAUUCCUUGGCAUUGUUUCUUUAUAGGAAAUAUGGGUAACAAAUGCUUGCAAUGAGGUUGACAGCCUGUGGUAUGAGACAAAGUUUGAGAUUGGGUGUUGGGUACACAAUCUUACUCCCUUUUGAAGCGCUAUUGGCUUGUUUAAGUUGUCACCUGUUUCCUCGCAAGUUUCACCUUGAACAUCAAGUGGACUGUUGCUGUCAGAUUCUGGUUCUAUCUCCAGUUCAGACUUUUGGCAAGUUUCACCUUGAACAUCAAGUGGAUUGUUGCUGUCAGAUUUUGGUUCAAUCUCCAGUUCAGACUUUUGUUCAACUCAUGAUGUGUUGAGCUCUAUUUGUUGAGAAGGCUGUUGUCGAGAAUAGACACAGAGCUGUUGUUUUGGUGGUUCCAUUCCUUUUUUUUUUUCAGCUGCUUCAGUAGGAUAAGGAAUGGGACCCGCUGUCGCCUGGGACAUACACAGCACACAGUGCAAGACUUCUUCCAUUGUCUAGAGUAUAUUCCUGCAUUUCAUUCAGAUGGAUUGAACAAUUCAUGUCAACAAGGCAUAUAAAUGUUGUUGUCGUUUCCUUUUGCUUCUUUUUGGAUAGACUACUGGCAUGUAGCCAUUUUCUUAGGUAUGUACAAGUUUUCGAUCCCUUAAGACCAGCUUUUAUGUAUGCAAAACUGUUUAUCUCGGACAUAGUGAUGAAUUUAUAGUUCCUUUAAUAUGCAUCCUUGUAUUGCUUUGACAUAGUAUAUCUUGUCACAAGUUAAUUUUCUUUCAUAGGAUAGUAUCUACAUCUCAGUCUUCAGACUAGGGAAGAGACGCUGUCUUGCGUGGAUGGCGCUUGCAAGGGUGGGUCGUCACAUUUUCUGUACAUAUUAACCAUAUUUUGUGGUUUUAAUCUGUUUUUCUUCUUAUUGAAACUUGUAUGAGUAUCAUUUAAUAUCUUUGAUGCAGUGUUUUUCUAUGUUGAAGAGCAAGAUGCAUUUGAUGUGUAUUCCAUAAUCAAUGGCUUCUCUAGUCUUACCCUUUCUUGUAAAAUGUAAAGUAGAUGUUGUAUAGUCUUAGGUCCAAUCUCAGUGUUCUUCCAAAUCCGAAUUCUCUUUUUUGAGUUUCUGACAAUCAUGUUGAUGAUGUACUAAUUCUUGAUCAGGUGGCCUUGCAUCGAAAUGCUUUUAAAAUCUAUACUUUUUUUUUCCCAACAACAACCCCAAGGAAACAUAAUGGUAUGCUGCUGCUGAUAAUGUUAUUGCUGCUAUUUAUGCUACUCAUCCAACUCCUAUGGAGAAAUAUGGAAGUUGUGGUUGAAAAGGUUUGCAAUAGGUUUUAAUGCAUGACUUCAUUAUAAGAUAUAAUGUCAUGGCACCUACGCUUGGACUAGUCUCUUAUUUACCCAUAUUGGAGACAUACUUCAUUAAUAACCUAGCAAGAAAGUGAAAGAAAUUGGAGGUAGGAAGACGAGGCUUUUGUGUCUCAUCUAUGGUGGCGUCUCCCCGAAGUGGAAUCUAGGGCCGGCGGAAAGAAGGGGAAGUGAAAGGCGGAGGACUUUUGAGUUUUAUUGGUCAAGAGGCUAGGGCACGGUGUGAUUUGGUUUGAUCUCGGUGUGGAAGCUCGGGGAAUCAGCUUAGUGCGUAGUGGUUUUGUGGUUGUGGGAUUUUGGAAACCUUAGAUUUGGGUUAGGGUUGUGUGGUUGGUUGAUUAAGCUAGGGGCGGGGCUGCCCAUGCAAUUGACUGGGUUUUCAUGCCGUCAAAACCACUUCCUUGGGAUCGGAAGGACUUCUUCAAGGAGAGGAGAGGAAGCAUGAGAGGUCGGAGUCUUUAAGUUUGCUGCAAGAUAGAGGACUCGCAUUAGGGUUCUUGGGAGUUUGCUCGCAGGAAUCGGCAGACUUGCGCCGUCCUACAGGUAAGUUGAAUCCCACCGGGUUCUUGAUGAUGUCGGUUUUGCUUUAAACCAAGAAAAAUAGUCGGGUUCUUGGAAAAUUUGGUCUCCGAGCCCUUUUGCUUUGUAUGAUUUGUUCCUUUUUGGUUUUUAAUUUUGAAUUUAUUCUGUCCACGGAAGAAGCACGAGAGGUCAGAGUCUUUAGGUUUGCUGCAAGAUAAAGAAACUCGCAUCAGGUUCUUGGGAGUUUGCUCGCCGGGAUCGGUAGACUUUCGCCCCCCUACAGGGACACUUUUCUUUGCCAUGAGCAAUGUUGGUGAGAUUUAUAUACACUGGAUCUGUAGAAAUUAUAUUGGAUAUUGCACAAGAUCUCCUCAUAGCUACUGAUCAGUAUCUCUUGCAGGGAUAAAGCGUCCCUGUGAGUGUACCAUUGCCCAUGAUAUAUCACUGGAAAAUGUUUCAAGAAUGCAUGAGCUUUCAUAAGCCUUCCAUGCUAUUUCCUUAAGACACACAUGCCUCAUGUCUAUCUUGGAGCAGUUUAGUAAACUGAGUUCUAGGGCCGGUUGAAAGGCACGAUGAGUACAGAAGAAACUCAAAUUUUAUAAAGGAAUUCAUUUUCCUUG